AGGACCAUCAACGCAGGCCUGCGGGAUCUUUCAUCAUUCUUGCCUUUCCUGUCAGUUGUGAAGACUCAUCCCUCAGAUUGGAAGCCAGAAGGACCCCAGCUGAGAAUUUUGAAGGGUAGAAGGAAAAUAAUUCUUUUUCCGCCCCUACUCUAUCAUCUAUCUGUCUCUCUCUCCAUCCAUCCAUCCAUCCAUCCAUCCAUCCAUCCUAUUGGUUCUGGUACUCUGGAGAACCCUGACUGAUCCUGGUGACCUCCAUCACUCACUGCAGGAGUGGGGCGAAGGCAAGGCACGCUGCCUCCCACCAGCUGGCCAGAGAGUGCCAUGUACCAGGAGCCCUCAUGGUGACAGGCAGCAGCCUUGAUGCAUGAAACCUACCUGGUGCUUCACAGGGACAAAAGUGGGUCCAUAGAGCAGUCACAGGACACCUCACGGGGGCACAGUGCUGUUGCCCGAAUAAGCUGAAGGCCCAAAUGUGUCGAAAAGGAAGCAAACUAGAGCUGCUUCCCUCACAGGAACCUGCCUGCUCUGGAAGAUGGUGCUCAAGCUCUGGAAAGGCGGCAGCUAAGGG